UCCAGACUCCUACGGGAGGCAGCAGUGGGGAAUAUUGCACAAUGGGCGAAAGCCUGAUGCAGCAACGCCGCGUGAAGGAAGAAGGGUUUCGGCUCGUAAACUUCUAUCAACAGGGACGAAAGAAAUGACGGUACCUGAAUAAGAAGCCCCGGCCAACUACGUGCCAGCAGCCGCGGUAAUACGUAGGGGGUAAGCGUUAUCCGGAAUUACUGGGUGUAAAGGGUGAGUAGGCGGCAUGGCAAGCCAGAUGUGAAAGCCUUGGGCUUAACCCGAGGAUUGCAUUUGGAACUAUCAAGCUAGAGUACAGGAGAGGAAAGCGGAAUUCCUAGUGUAGCGGUGAAAUGCGUAGAUAUACGGAGGAACACCAGUGGCGAAGGCGGAUUGCUGGACAGUAACUGACGCUGAGGCGCGAAAGCGUGGGGAGCAAACAGGAUUAGAUACCCUAGUAUU
rnacentral:rRNA from 1 species